GACGAACGCUGGCGGCGUGCCUAACACAUGCAAGUCGAGCGGGGUCCAACCAGUGGCAACACUGGGGACGACCUAGCGGCGAACGGGUGAGUAACACGUGAGGAACCUGCCCCGAAGACCGGGAUAACCCGAGGAAACUCGAGCUAAUACCGGAUACCCCCACGAGAUCGCAUGGGUCUUGUGAGGAAAUGUCUUUUCGCUUCGGGAGGGCCUCGCGGCCUAUCAGCUAGUUGGCGGGGUAACGGCCCACCAAGGCAUCGACGGGUAGCUGGUCUGAGAGGACGAUCAGCCACACUGGGACUGAGACACGGCCCAGACUCCUACGGGAGGCAGCAGUGGGGGAAUCUUUGCGCAAUGGGCGAAAGCCUGACGCAGCAACGCCGCGUGGGGGACGAAGGCUCUCGGGUUGUAAACCCCUUUCAGGAGGGACGAAAUUGACGGUACCUCCAGAAGAAGCCCCGGCAACUACGUG
rnacentral:rRNA from 1 species